rnacentral:rRNA from 1 species
GAGUUUGAUCCUGGCUCAGGACGAACGCUGGCGGCGUGCUUAACACAUGCAAGUCGAACGGAAAGGCCCCGCUCGCGGGGUACUCGAGUGGCGAACGGGUGAGUAACACGUGGGUGAUCUGCCCUGCACUUCGGGAUAAGCCUGGGAAACUGGGUCUAAUACCGGAUAUGACCUCCCUUUAGUGUGGGGGGUGGAAAGAUUUAUCGGUGCAGGAUGAGCCCGCGGCCUAUCAGCUUGUUGGUGGGGUAAUGGCCUACCAAGGCGUCGACGGGUAGCCGGCCUGAGAGGGUGGACGGCCACAUUGGGACUGAGAUACGGCCCAGACUCCUACGGGAGGCAGCAGUGGGGAAUAUUGCACAAUGGGCGGAAGCCUGAUGCAGCGACGCCGCGUGGGGGAUGACGGCCUUCGGGUUGUAAACCUCUUUCGACAGGGACGAAGUGAAAAUGACGGUACCUGUAUAAGAAGCACCGGCUAACUACGUGCCAGCAGCCGCGGUAAUACGUAGGGUGCGAGCGUUGUCCGGAAUUACUGGGCGUAAAGAGCUCGUAGGUGGUUUGUCACGUCGUCUGUGAAAUUCCGGGGCUUAACCUCGGGCGUGCAGGCGAUACGGGCAAUACUUGAGUGCUGUAGGGGAGACUGGAAUCCCUGGUGUAGCGGUGAAAUGCGCAGAUAUCAGGAGGAACACAAUGGCGAAGCCAGGUCUCUGGGCAGUUACGGACGCUGAGGAGCGAAAGCAUGGGUAGCGGACAGGAUUAGAUACCCUGGUAGUCCAUGCCGUAAACGGUGGGCGGUAGGUGUAGGGGACUUCCACGUUCUGUGUGCCAUAGCUAACGCAUUAAGCGCCCCGCCUGGGGAGUACGGCCGCAAGGCUAGAACUCAAAGGAAUUGACGGGGGCCCGCACAAGCGGCGGAGCAUGUGGAUUAAUUCGAUGCAACGCGAAGAACCUUACCUGGGCUUGACGUACACCGGACCGGCGUAGAGAUACGUCUUCCCUUGUGGCCGGUGUACAGGUGGUGCAUGGUUGUCGUCAGCUCGUGUCGUGAGAUGUUGGGUUAAGUCCCGCAACGAGCGCAACCCUUGUCUUAUGUUGCCAGCACGUGAUGGUGGGGACUCAUGAGAGACUGCCGGGGUCAACUCGGAGGAAGGUGGGGAUGACGUCAAAUCAUCAUGCCCCUUAUGUCCAGGGCUUCACACAUGCUACAAUGGUCGGUACAGCAGGUCGCGAACUCGUGAGAGUAAGCCAAUCCUUCAAAGCCGGCCUCAGUUCGGAUUGGGGUCUGCAACUCGACCCCAUGAAGUCGGAGUCGCUAGUAAUCGCAGAUCAGCAACGCUGCGGUGAAUACGUUCCCGGGCCUGUACACACCGCCCGUC